GCCGGGCAUAGUGGCGUAUGCCUGUGGUCCCAGCUACUCGGGAGGCUGAGAUAGGAGGAUUGCUGGAGCCCAGGAAGUCAAGGCUGCAGUGAGUCAAGAUCGUGCCACUGCACUCCAGCCUGGGUGACAGACUGAUACCCUGUCUCAA
rnacentral:SRP_RNA from 1 species